CCGCUUGGAGACGCCGAGAUCAUCUCCCACGUCAUAGUCGGCCUCGACAUCGACUACAACCUUGUGAUCUCGGCUCUGGCUGCGCGGGUCGAACCUGUUACGGUUCAAGAGCUGUAUAGUCAGCUCCUGAGCUUUGACG
rnacentral:snoRNA from 1 species